rnacentral:tRNA from 1 species
AGCGGGGUGGAGGAGUAGUACCUCGCAAGGCUCAUAACCUUGAGGCGCCGGUGCAAUUCCGGCCUCCGCAA